ensembl:miRNA
CAGCAGGGUGAGGUAGUAGGUUGUGUGGUUUCAGGGUAGUAAUUUUGCCCCAAUCAGGAGUUAACUAUACAACCUACUGCCUUCCUUGAGGA